GAUGAACGCUGACAGCAUGCUUAACACAUGCAAGUCGACUUGUGGCGGACGGGCGAGUAACGCGUAAAGAACUUGCCUAUCUGCUAGGGACAACAUGUGGAAACGAGUGCUCAUACCGGAUACUGUGAGUGAGCUUUGCGUCCCAUGAGCUAGUUGGAGAGGUAACGGCUCACCAAGGCGAGGAUGGGUAGCCGGCCUGAGAGGGUGAUCGGCCACAAGGGGAUGGGGACACGGCCCUUGGGCAAUAGGGAAGCAGCAGUGGGGAAUAUUUGACAACGGACCACUGUCUGAUGAAGGACUUCGGGUUGAACGAUGAAGUUUUCGGAAUGAAGAGUGCUUUGAGUUGGGAAGCGGUACCCGCAGAAGAAGUGACGGCUAACUCCGUGCCAGCAGCCGCGGUAAUUC
rnacentral:rRNA from 1 species